UCCGUAGGUGGAUAAUUAAGUCAGAGGUGAAAUCCUGCAGCUCAACUGUAGAAUUGCCUUUGAUACUGGUUAUCUUGAGUCAUUAUGAAGCGGUUAGAAUGUGUAGUGUAGCGGUGAAAUGCAUAGAUAUUACACAGAAUACCGAUUGCGAAGGCAGAUCACUAAUAAUGUACUGACACUGAGGGACGAAAGCGUGGGGAGCGAACAGGAUUAGAUACCCUGGUAGUCC
rnacentral:rRNA from 1 species